GACGAACGCUGGCGGCGUGCUUAACACAUGCAAGUCGAACGGAAAGGCCCUGCUUUUGUGGGGUGCUCGAGUGGCGAACGGGUGAGUAACACGUGAGUAACCUGCCCUUGACUUUGGGAUAACUUCAGGAAACUGGGGCUAAUACCGGAUAGGAGCUCCUGCUGCAUGGUGGGGGUUGGAAAGUUUCGGCGGUUGGGGAAGGACUCGCGGCUUAUCAGCUUGUUGGUGGGGUAGUGGCUUACCAAGGCUUUGACGGGUAGCCGGCCUGAGAGGGUGACCGGCCACAUUGGGACUGAGAUACGGCCCAGACUCCUACGGGAGGCAGCAGUGGGGAAUAUUGCACAAUGGGCGGAAGCCUGAUGCAGCAACGCCGCGUGCGGGAUGACGGCCUUCGGGUUGUAAACCGCUUUCGCCUGUGACGAAGCGUGAGUGACGGUAAUGUGUAAAGAAGCACCGGCUAACUACGUG
rnacentral:rRNA from 1 species